rnacentral:rRNA from 1 species
GACGAACGCUGGCGGCGUGCUUAACACAUGCAAGUCGAACGGAAAGGCCCUGCUUGCAGGGUCCUCGAGUGGCGAACGGGUGAGUAACACGUGGGUGAUCUGCCCUGCACUUCGGGAUAAGCCUGGGAAACUGGGUCUAAUACCGGAUAGGAGCCAUUUUUAGUGUGAUGGUUGGAAAGUUUUUUUCGGUGUAGGAUGAGCUCGCGGCCUAUCAGCUUGUUGGUGGGGUAAUGGCCUACCAAGGCGGCGACGGGUAGCCGGCCUGAGAGGGUGGACGGCCACAUUGGGACUGAGAUACGGCCCAGACUCCUACGGGAGGCAGCAGUGGGGAAUAUUGCACAAUGGGCGCAAGCCUGAUGCAGCGACGCCGCGUGGGGGAUGACGGCCUUCGGGUUGUAAACUCCUUUCGCUAGGGACGAAGCUUUUUGUGACGGUACCUAGAUAAGAAGCACCGGCUAACUACGU